GUCUUCUUAGUACAAACAAUACAAAUGACUUCCAAUCAUUUAAUCUUGGUUUAAACCCGAGAGAAGACA
rnacentral:tRNA from 1 species